CAGUGCCUGCAUUCCAUGAUGUUAUGUAAUUGACGUACAUUUAGUUGUCAGGAGGUUGCACACAUCCCGCAAAGAGGUUGGUUUGACAGAACGCAUCACAUCUGAUAGCAUCAGAGAGAAGAAUAUAGCGUACACUUCUCAAAAUUAUGAAACUGAAGUUGUAAUCUGAUUGUAGAGAAUACUUCCUGAGCUUCCUAACCAGUAGAAGGUCAAAGUUGGCUUUCAUCUUUUACAGAUUAUUAUGGGCCAGGUUUCUUCAUCACGCUUUCACACGCCUGAUGAAGACCAGGGACCUAACCAUCUUCAUUCACGAGAGGCAGAAAGGCAAAGUAGAAAUAAUCCCCAGAGAGAGACGACACAAUCAAUGAGUUCACAAUCUGUUUCAUCACACUCUUACACACCCAAUGAAG